ACUUAGACCUGGACUGAUCUAUACCUCACACUGCACUUUGAUGAGGAACCACUGCAAAUUUAGCCACAUAUCAAUAUGAGCAACUUCAGACAGAUCCUAAAGGAGAUUGAGGUGUUUGGUUUGUUUCAAAAGAGCUGAUUAGCCAGGUAUUUACAGCCAUGCACUUCCCGCGUCACUGUAACACUGACUGGAUCUUGGAGCAUGGGCCCAACCUGACAGAUGAGAGACAAAGAAAUCUCACCUUCCUGGUGAACAAGGAUGGAAGGGUUGAAAGCUGUAAAAUGUUCACACCUGUGGAUUUGGAAACAAUUGAAGCAUAUGGGAUUACUAGUACAACUGGAUGUAUAGAUGGAUGGGUCUAUGAGGCACCCAUAGGUGCUUCCAGCAUUGUGUCAUUGAGUUUGAGACAAAAGAGGUUUAAUUGAGGCAUCACAGUUCAUCUUCAUGGCAGGUGUUUUGGUUGGAGUGCUGGAGUUUGGGGCAGUUUCUGACAGAUCUUCCUGUGGUGGUAACAGUCAUGGCCGUACUGGGGAAAUUUGCUGCCACAGCCUCUUUUGGCACAUCCUAUAUUUAUACUGCAGAAUUAUGCCCUACCAUUUUAAGGCAGAAUGGUUACGGUCUACACUGCAUGUGUGCUCGUGUGGAGGGCAUCCUCGCUCCACUGAUCAGGCUCCUGGAUGUCUAUCAUUACACCAUCCCCAUGCUGAUAUGUGGCAUCAUCCCCAUUGCUGCUGGGGGUUUCUCUUUAUUACUCCCUGAAACCCUCAAUGUUGAACUUCAGGACCACACUGAACUCAAGUGAGUUGAUGAACUCUUUUAAUACAGAUUAUGGAACAAAUGUAUGGAUGAAACUUUAUAAUGAAAAUGAUUUCAGUGGGAUGGUCUACACACUGCUUUAUUAUGAGAAUGAACUAAGGAGCAAUUAUAUGUAAUAAUCAUCUUGAACUGCUGAUAAGGAAGCCUAUGAUAAAGAGGAAAAACCACUGAGGAGUACAAACUUUUUCACAGUUUGUUUUUUUCUUAUCAGGUAGGAAUUGUUCUAAUGGGACAAAUGGAUAAAUGCUUAAGUGUAAUAUGAUUUUAAGGAUACAGAGAAAAAAGAGGGAAAAUUAAGAAAAGUUAAAUGCUAAAUAUUUGCACAAAUACAGGUACUCAAAAGCAUCAGCCAAAAGCUGAGGAUCGGCAGCAGCUCUAGACUGUAAUGCAUUUCAAGCUUCCUCGGGCAGCAUUAAUGAUUUUAAGGAAAAAAGACACUGUAUUAUUUAAGUCUAAGUAAUGUAAUUCAAUACAUAUAAUCCUUGUUCUGUUUUUCAUUUCAGAAAACUGAACUAAGUCCAUGUUGAACAAAUUAAUGAAGAGCAUAACACUGUUAUUUGUACUGAAAUCAUUAUCAGAGUCACGUAUUUUGUCUUUUUCCUGAUUUAUUAUCAGGUAUGAUAAACUACAGUUUUUGUCAACUGACACUUUACUCAAGUUUUGUUUUAUUGUGGUGUAUUUUAUAACAGGAAGGUUGUAAUAAAUAUUGUUUAAAGUCAAAUGAUGUCAAAUGUUCUUAUCCCAACAUGUAUUUCAAUUACUAUUACUAAUGAUAAGCUAUUAGCAAUAAAAUAAAAAAAGGGUCUUUACAUUUCACUGUAAUGUCUGAUACAUUCAAAUGAACACUGGUUUAGCAAUGGAUUUAGGCUACUUUUGGUCUGGCCAUACUUUUGAGGAUUUAAUUUAGUCAAACACAGUCAAUUACUUAUCUGUAUUCAUUCAUGAUUCUAGCAUCCUGAUAAGCUUGCCACAAAGCUACACCAGUGCUUGCUGCAUGUUUAAUUAGCACUUGGAUGGUCAGCUCGGCUUAGAUUUGGACAUAUUUGCUAAAUGAGGAUGCAUAAUAUGAUUAAUGAAUAUAAUUAAUAAAAUAUGAAAAUGUUAUCAAAAUUAAAAGACAUUUUCAGAGCAAAAAAUUCAAUUUAAAUAGUAAAUCAAAUUACAUGGCAAUGCUUGCCUUUAUUUGUACAUUCCUGUGAAAUUCACACAUUGUAAUGUUGUGUCAGGUCCUCAGUAUCAGUUACAAACGUUGCAGACCAUAUUAUCAACAUGGCAGGUAGAAAUGUAACUGGUGGAAUGAAAUUCAUCAG